UACGUAGGGUGCGAGCGUUGUCCGGAAUUAUUGGGCGUAAAGAGCUCGUAGGCGGUUUGUCGCGUCUGCUGUGAAAACGCGAGGCUCAACCUCGCGCCUGCAGUGGAUACGGGCAGACUAGGGGUAGGUAGGGGAGAAUGGAAUUCCCGGUGUAGCGGUGAAAUGCGCAGAUAUCGGGAGGAACACCGGUGGCGAAGGCGGUUCUCUGGGCCUUACCUGACGCUGAGGAGCGAAAGCGUGGGGAGCGAACAGG
rnacentral:rRNA from 1 species